GACGGAGGGUGCUAGCGUUGUUCGGAAUCACUGGGCGUAAAGGGCGCGUAGGCGGCCUCAGGUGUCGGAUGUGAAAGCCCGGGGCUCAACCCCGGAGGUGCAUCCGAAACUCUGGGGCUGGAGGUCGGAAGAGGAGGGUGGAAUACCCAGUGUAGAGGUGAAAUUCGUAGAUAUUCGCAAGAACACCGAUGGCGAAGGCAGCCCCCUGGGCUAGCACUGACGCUCAGGCACGAAAGCGUGGGGAGCAAACAGG
rnacentral:rRNA from 1 species